rnacentral:lncRNA from 1 species
GGGCGCGCGUGGACGUGCUUCUCUCCGCUGUUGCUGCGCACGCGAGUGGUGCCGUGGCGGUUCCUGGGCGCGUGUCUCGUUUCUCUUCCCUUCCCGCCCUUUUCAGGGGCGCGAGGCGCUGCUGAGGAGAGCAGCAGGCGGUCGCGCUGCGCUGACUCCCGAGCCUUGCUUCGAGUGUACUUCUGCGGGGUUUCUUUCAGUAAAAUUAACAGAGAACAGACUUUUCCCUCCUGCCCCUUCGUUUUCAGCUGUCUACUUGCUGUUCCCUCGCAGCGCUCGCAGGUUUGUUGGUAGGGAGCCGUGUGGGGGCUGAGGUGCAACGGGCUGAGCUUCCUGGGCAUACAGUUUUCCUGAGGGGGUUUUUUGGUGUUUUUUUUUUUAAUUAUUAUUAUUAUUAUUUUGGAAAUCGAUCCCCAUGCAGAAUAAUGGGGUGUUGAGAGGGAAGGGAGUACUCUCGUGAAGAGCCCCAGAGCUGAGAAGAGCCCUCAGGAGGGCUGCGGGGGCUGGCAGCCACCUGCUGUGGCAGGCUGUGGUAGACACAGUUCUGAGAGACUUAUUUAUUUGAGGUUCUUUUUAGCGUAGGUACUGCCAAAGGAUGCAUUUAGUGUAUCCCGAGGAAGGGAGCUCGCCCUGUAUGUCCUUUACCUGCAAAAAAGGGGAGGGAAAAGAUUUCUGUUCCCAUCAGCUGUUCUUGAGAGAAGCUUCCCUCAUCGAUUUUCUUCGCUAUCUUUCAGGGCUUUCUGGAUAUUAGCAAAAAGCAGUUGACUUCGUUUUUGAUACCUCUACUGCUUCUUAAAGCAGAACUGCAUGAGUUACUGAUAACCAGUGCUGUGUGCUUGAGUGCUGCGCCUCGUGUGUGGAGCUGCAGCUCGAGCAACCACUGAUGUGCGAGGAAAAACUGUAACUGGGAGGAAAUGGCUCUUUCCAAAGAAAUAGAGUUGUGUGUUCUGUGCUGAUCUCACGGUUUUGUCAAAGUGAUUUAUUGGUGAUGAACUGCAGAAAGAGUAAGCAGGACAGAAUAUACCUGCCUGGCACUGAUCAUGUUAAAAAGAUGUCUUGUUUAGAAACAAGCUGAAAAAGCGAAAAUAAUUCUUCAACUGACAAUCUAGUAUUUUUUCUCUUCACUUUCUAUUGUGUAUGUACUAAUCGUAAUCCUUGGGAAGAAGAUCUUGAAACCACUGAAGUAAAUUCUUAUAUAGGUUUACUAAUAAUGUGCCAGCUUCUAUUUGGUUGUCAUUUAAAUGCAACGUGUCUGCCUUCACUAAACUGAAGGUCAAAGACUUGCAACUUUUGAUCAUGACUGAGCGUGCGCUUUAAGAAAUUAUAGGCUUGGUGCUGUCAAUCAGCUCUACAGAUUUUAAUAAUUAUUGUUUUUAUUCUUGGCAACUUUGGUGAAUUGUCCAGGAAGAAGGUAAUGAUGUGUAAAAUAUAACUGCAGGGGGUGUAAUGGGCUGUCCCGUGCAGCAUUUCCUAUGGGAAAGAGCUGGGCACAGGCACUUAAGUUCAAGGCUGCGUGCUGUUGCUGAGCAGAAGUUGGACAGUCCAGGAAGCAUUUUGGAGUAAUCCAUGGUGUAGAUUAAAAUGCUGUCUUAGUUUAUUAGGGAAGCAUUUUCCAGCACUGUAUCUGUUGAAUGUUUUAAAACAACAACAACAAAAAGCCCAUGUGUUGGGGUGCUGGUGACUUCCAAUCUGAUUUUUGCACUUUCUCUUGUAUCAAGAGAGGAAGGUAGAGUAAAUGGCCAUAUCCGAGCACAGAAUUCACAUCAUAAUUAAAGAUUAGAUUGUGAAAGUAAGCAGUAGCUCUGUGUCGGAAUGCAUAUAGAAAUGCCUGAACACAAACAUUAAAAGUAGUCUGCAAGUAUAUUCAACAUAAAAACUGGUCUGGCUGUGCUAUAGCAGUCAUCUUGGUGUGAAGGUCUGGACAGGAUUUACACAUGUGACUGACUAGAAAGGUGUUUGUGUUGGAUGUGGACAAUGAGCUAGAUAUGUGGAGAACAAAGGUCAGUGACUAUGUACAGGUGUGUGCUGAAGUAGCAGGGUCUGUUUUCUUCUGCUAGAGGCUAAGAGCCCUUAAAACCAAACUGAAUGCUGUAAGAAUAGUGUCACAUUACCAGGCAGCCUUAUGCCCCUGAAAAUUCUUGAACCAACCAGUUGCCCUGUGAAUGACCACUUGUGCUGCUGCCUUCAGUGCAGUCAUUGCUGAAUGCUUGCUUGGUGACAGUCAUGUAUUUCUCUGUCCAAAACACUUCUGUCUAGGUACUUGCUGUCAAAUUCUAGGUUGCUUUUUUUCCUUGUGUCAACUUUUCAUUGUAUAUGUAUGUACAUAUAUAGUUUUAAAAAUGACCUAUUUCAUAUCCAAUUGCUUCUAAAUUCCUCUGCAAGGUACACUUAGUCUAAACCUUACUGUAAACCACAGUGUUGCUUUGUUGGCCUGUUUUUGAAGACCCUGGCCCGAUUUCUUCCUCAAUAUAAUGAUGCUUUCUUAACCAUUGAGUUUUUAACAUGGAAGCAAGCUUAUAAGUAACUGAGAUUUGAUGGUUCUAUCACAUGCUGAAUUUUAACACAGAAAAUGAUGGCUAGUGUGUUUUUAAAACAUGGUGUUCAGAGCUGCAGCUAUCAGAAGGCAGUCAUAAAAUGUGUGCUACUAGAACCCUGCAUGUUCUUUCCAGUGUCCUGAGACAGAUCUGUGUCUCACUCAGAGCAGGUUGCUCCGGCCAUCUGAAAACUGCCUUAUGAAAUGUUCAGACUUCUACUGGUCUGCUGUUCUGUAUCUUGUCUUUGUAUGAGGUACUCGUAGGCAGUAUUCUGAGUUUGCACUAAGUUUAGAUGUUUCGUGUUUUACUUGCUCCGUUUCUGAUAUCAGACACAGGGAAGAUAGCAAGUUCUAGGGAGUUUCAGUUCAUGGAGCAAAGUAUUAAGUUGAUUGGCAUUUCAGACUAUUUAAUCUCAACUGCACAAGAGAAGCAGCAACUAAUAACAUGUUUCAGAUCCAAGGUUACAACUUGGAUUACUUGGUGAUUGCACUGAAAAUACCUAUUGUAGAGGUAGAUAAUUUUCAUAAUAAUCUUAGUUUCAAGAAGUUGCCAAGUUUAUGAUCCAGGAUUUUAUUUCUACUACUGUAUUACUAAUAGUAGUAGCCAAAUUUGGAUUUGAGUAUGUUCUCAUAGAUGAAUUACUCUUUUUUUCUUCCAAGUAUAUUUCAAUAGAAUCCUCUCUGAUUUCUGCUGUAAAAUAAGUAUUACAGUAAUUAAAUAAAUCUGUACAUCUUUUCUCCCCCAGACCCAUAUUUAGAAGUUAAUUAGUUCAUUAGUUAAUGAAGCCAAAUCACUGCGGUGCUGCCUAGAGUCUCAGUUUGUGGUAAAAUUUGGGGGAAAACAGGGGGAAAAGAAAACAAAACCACCUAGAAAAAAAAAAAAGUUUUGUCUCACUUUUUGUUUCUGUCACAGAUACCUUCAGAAAAGCUGUCACCUACCCUUCUGUAGCAGCAGGGCUUUCCAUGUUGGAGCUGAUUAGCAAGAUAAUAGUGCUUUUGUUUCUUUUAAGUGUAAUGUAUGACGAGUUUUUUUCUUCAUGUUUUUUUUUUUUUUUUUAACAUUCUACAUCCUUCAUGCAUCAACAGCCAACAUAGGUAGAGAGGCUGGUGGAACUAUGAAUCUCUCCUUUCCCAGACCUGUUAUGUAGUAAAUACCAAACUCUUUGAAGAGCAAAGCAGCAUGUAUGUGUCCAGAUGUCUGCUAGUAGAUAUACCUGUGCUCAUACAAAUCUACUUUAUUUCUAAAAUGCACAUAAAAGCACAUGCACCGUAACCAAACGGGCAGUUUUAGAAUAUCCCAAAUUCAUUACAGAUGUCCAAACACAGUCUCAUAUUCCCACAGGCUUCAGUUUUUACAAAUAUUUAUAUUUGUAUGUUUUUCCAUUUGCAGUUUCUUUACAUUAAUAUAUGUCUGUUUAUUUCAACCACAUUAAUAGGCGAUUAAUAAAAAUACAUUGGAGAAUGACCCACAAAAUGCCUUUUGGAGAAAUGUUAUUCUAGUAGUUCCUGACUGAAUUAUUUUUAUGGAGUUACUCCAAUAGAGUUAUCUUUAAAUAAUUGG